AUACUUCACACCUCAAAUAUGCCUCGCCACCAGGGACCAGGACCUCGCCGUGUUGGAAAUCGCCUUCAAUGUCGGUGGAGGUCUAAACACCCUCAAACCUAAAUCAUUUGACUUGUUUUUUCUCCUCUCUCUCAUCCUCAAACUAGUUUUCUUUAAUUCCUUAUUGUUAUUCCAAACCGAACAGAAAAUUGUAUGAACCCUAAUGUCCUAAGUUCAAAUUAAACGCUAAUAAAGCCUAAUCUAGAUUCAAAACCUUAUGGUUAUGGUUCCUUAGCAUCAAUACUAUGAGUUGGUAACAAAGUUCAAAGGGAGUAAAGAGGAGUUGAAGGAGAUCCUUUCCUUCAGAGAGGUUGCUUGCUUUGGAAAAUAUUGAGAAGCUCGAAGAUGAGAAUGCAGAGAAAUCCAGAGGUGGAUUUCUAGGCUUGGGCUAAAGCAAGGAUCGUGAAGAAUUUGGCAAAGGUCAUCAAAUGGCAAAGCAUGGAACAAGGCAUGGCAUGGAUUGGUCAUGAAGACAUGAAUAUAUGAAACAUCGGAAAUCAUGAAGCACUUGAACAAACAUGGGGUGGCUUAUGAAUGAAGAAGAAGUAGGAUAGGAAUUAGGGUUAGGAUUUAGUUAGUUGGCUUUGGUCAAUUGUUUGACCAAAAUUAAAUAGUUGACCAAAGUCAACUUUGGGUCAAAAUGUGUAUUUUUGUAUAAAAUUGGGAUUCUUGACUCCCUUAUGAUGAAAUUUUGGUGAUUUGUAAUGAAAUUGGCUCUUAAGUGGUA